rnacentral:misc_RNA from 1 species
AAGUCGUAACAAGGUCUCCGUUGGUGAACCAGCGGAGGGAUCAUUAUAGAGUUUUCUAAACUCCCAACCCAUGUGAACUUACCAUUGUUGCCUCGGCAGAAGCUGCCCGGUACACCUUACCUUGGAACGGCCUACCCUGUAGCGCCUUACCCUGGAACGGCUUACCCUGUAGCGGCUGCCGGUGGACUACCAAACUCUUGUUAUUUUAUUGUAAUCUGAGCGUCUUAUUUUAAUAAGUCAAAACUUUCAACAACGGAUCUCUUGGUUCUG